rnacentral:rRNA from 2 species
AAAAAAGGUAAGCUACUAAGAGCGAAUGGUGGAUGCCUUGACUGGUAAAGGCGAUGAAGGACGUACUAGACUGCGAUAAGCUACGGGGAGCUGUCAAGAAGCUUUGAUCCGUAGAUUUCCGAAUGGGGCAACCCAAUGUAUAGAGAUAUACAUUACCUAUAUAGGAGCGAACGAGGGGAAUUGAAACAUCUUAGUACCCUCAGGAAAAGAAAUCAAUAGAGAUUGCGUCAGUAGCGGCGAGCGAAAGC